UACAGAGGGGGCAAGCGUUAUUCGGAAUUAUUGGGCGUAAAGGGCGCGUAGGCGGCUUCGCAAGUGGAAGGUGAAAUCCCUCGGCUCAACCGAGGAACUGCCUUUCAAACUGCGUUGCUUGAGUCCGGGAGAGGUGAGUGGAAUUCCCAGUGUAGCGGUGAAAUGCGUAGAUAUUGGGAGGAACACCAGUGGCGAAGGCGGCUACCUGGACCGGUUCUGACGCUGAGGUGCGAAAGCGUGGGGAGCAAACAGG
rnacentral:rRNA from 1 species